UACGUAGGGGGCUAGCGUUGUCCGGAUUUAUUGGGCGUAAAGAGCGUGUAGGCGGCCAGGUAGGUCUGCUGUGAAAACUCGAGGCUCAACCUCGAGACGUCGGCGGAAACCAUCUGGCUAGAGUCCGGAAGAGGAGAGUGGAAUUCCUGGUGUAGCGGUGAAAUGCGCAGAUAUCAGGAAGAACACCGAUGGCGAAGGCAGCUCUCUGGGACGGUACUGACGCUGAGACGCGAAAGCGUGGGGAGCGAACAGG
rnacentral:rRNA from 1 species